CAGUUCAGUGUUUGUCUCUUUCAAUAUUUUACACUCAGCUUCUGCAGUGUUAACUCGACUUUCUGCAUUAGAUGCAUUUUCUUUCAGAUCAACAAUAAGGUUAUCCAUGACUCUUAUUUCAGAACAUUUAACAUUAUAAAGCAACUGAUAUUCAUCUCCCGAGGCCUUCACAUUCAGUAACUGACAUUCAGAUUCUUUUAGCUGCUUCUCAAGUGAACACAUGUUCUCAAGCUUAGCUCUGAGCUCAGAUUCAUGCUGACUUAAACCGUUCAAAUUGAACUCAGAAAUCUGGAGUCUACCUAACAGGCCUUUUGAAAUACCCAUCAGAAUAUCAGAUGCAUUAUCCGCCUCAAACCAUCUUUCCCAAGCAUCAUUUGCUUCUUCCUCCAUGACAUUUAGCUCUUCUUCUAAAGAAACCACCCUUUGUUUUAGCUUUUCUUCAAUUUGUUUUGAGUCAUUGAAAUUCUUCUCAAGGUCCAUUUCACUCGCUAAAGAUUUCUCUAGCAUCCUGAGAAUAUCUUUUUGUUCCUCAAUUGUUUGCAAUUUUAUCAAUGCACUUACAUUCAAAGAUUGAUCAUCCUCUAUGACAAUCUCACCCUCUUCAACAUUAACUGCUGUCAUUGAAAAUCCCAAAAAACAAAGAGUAAAAUACAUUUAUCAAAAAUGGAAAAUUAUUGAGAUAAUGAUAUUCCUAUUGGUAAUCAAGAAAGAGCCAUUUGGAGCCAGACAGCUCAAUGUUCUUCACAGUUUUUUUCUGUCUUAAUGUUUUCUCUUUCUGAUAAAAGAAUAAAUCCAUUAAUGCAUGUGAGGAGUUCACUCAGCAUUGCAUUAACAAUUUCACAUGGAUCUUGAAGUGGGCCCCACAUAAAGAGGGUGGACCAUUGUGCGCAGUCUGAGAAGGGUAGAUGUAUUUGAAUCCAUGACCUCUAUGUCACAAGGCAAACAUCAUUGCGCCGAGACUCAUCUCUUGGACCCCACAUAACGGGACAGAAAUAAAUAAAUAAAUAAAUAAAUAAAUAAAACUUCUAACAUAAUGAAAGCGCAACAUAUAUAAAAAUCAAUCAAUCAAUGAACCAAAGUGUACACUGUAUACAAAGGAAAAAUAAACAAAACAAAAGCAUUUAACUUUCAUGCAAUGUUAGUUUAAUUAUUACACUAUCAUUCAGUUAUAUUCUCAUGCCAUUAAAUAUGUUUUUCUUUUAUAAACAACCACUCACAUGCAUGACAGUGUAACAAACUAAAACAUGACUUUUCAUCAAACAACUAGCCUACAAAAAUAAACAAAUGUAUAAGAUCUUGUUUCAUACCAUUUUCUUCCCUCUUAUAAGAAGACAAAGUCCUCUCAAAACUAGAAUAUAGCUUCUUAAUCUCAGAAGACCAAUCAUUUAUAAUAAGUGAUACAAAAUAUGUGAUAGAGGAUGUACUCCUCUUAGUUAAGAAUAUUGUUUAUUAGUAAAUCAUUAAUCAGUAUUCCAUUCUUUUUAGUAAGAGAAUAAAUUAUUUAUUUAUAUAAGGAGAUAAGUUAUAUUCUUCAACUACUAAAAUCAUGACAUAUGUCCUAUUUAAUCAUUUUUUACAAAAAUAUUUCUAAAACUAAAAUAAUAGUACAUGUAUCAAACUUUUACUAGUUGGAUGAGAUAAAUUAUCUCAUGAUAUGAAGGUUUCUUUAUCUCUUUUAUUAAUGUAUCAUUUGUGAGAAACUACUCAAAUCAUUUUUUUUACAUUAUCAUUGUAUAGUAAAAGUAAUAUAAAUAAAUAGUAGAUAUUAUACUCAUUAUAAAUAAAUCUUUACACUAAUAAUUUAUUCAAUGUCAAGUAAUGAUAUGGAAACUUUUAGGAUAACAAUGUUUGAGCUUUUGAUAUAAGAGCUUGUCCACAAACAUGUCCACCACAACAAACAUAUUCUAUUUCUAAGCUUCACUUUUUAAUUGAUCAAAAUAUGUAUGUUCUUUCAUUUCUUUAUCUGAAAUCAAUUAAAUCAUAUCCUUUUACAUUUCUCUCCCACUUUUAGAUUCAUCAAAAAGCUAGUGAGGAGAAUAAGAAAAUAAAGGAGGAGAAUAUUAUGAGGAUUCAUCAAUUAAGCAAAAAAAAUGAAGGAGGAGAAUAAGAAUGCAUGAUUUUAUGGUAACAAUUUAUUCAUAGACCAAAAUCAACAUUCACAUCAUUCAAAUACAGAAAAGUCACAGCAGAAAUAAGUAACACAAAAAUUGCUAUGAGUAAAUACUUAAAACUAAGAACUCCAGCAUCUAUUCUCCUCACAGUUCCAACAUCUGGCAUAGAAUCUACAGACUCUACUUCAUUAUCCACCUGCCAAAGGGAAAUAAGAACAACAAUUAAGUCAAUACCCAAAUAAAAAAACAAGUCAAUAAACUCUGAAAUACUAACCUCAUGGUCAGUGGCUGAAGUUGGACAAACUUCUUCAGAAGUAUCCUUACAUGAUUGCUUCAACUUUAGCACCAAAAUCUUGUUCUCACUUGCUAAGUAAGACAGCUGCAUAUGAAAUUACACAUUUUCAACAAGCCAAGAAGUGCUUAGAUCAAGCUCAUAAUACAAUAUUCAGCAUAUGAUUCAAAACCUUAAGCAGACUUGUUUAGAAGUCUCUCUUCUUACUCUUCUUUUUCUAUUGCCUCAAAAAAUAUUGGAAUAACCAUUUCUAUCCCAUCAGACAAGAACACAUUGUAAAUUCUUCCAUUGGACUUUCUUUCUAGUUUAUUUAUGUUGAGAUUAUAUAUGAAUUGGAACAACUCCACACAUCAAACAGAUAAAAGCUAUUUUUAAAAUCUUGAGACAGAAAACUGAAAAGGGGCAGCCCAGUGCAUGGGGCUCCCACCUAGUGGGGUCUGGGGAGGGUGGAUAUGGGCAGCCUUACCCUUGCUGGAAAACUCAAACAGCACGAAAAACGGCUGUGCCCAUGCAAUUGUUAUUCAUGAACUGACUCCACAAACAAGCCAUCAAUAGUCUCAUAUAUAGUUAUAUUAAUAUUAAGAAAACACAUUCAGCUAUCCCAAUAUGCAGAGGAAUUGCUACCAAUUGAACUCCUAGCUGUUUCUGAUGAUUAAUGAGCAAGAAACACUCAAAUAAAGUAUCAUGCCGACCAGGUACUUGGCAGUCUAUAAAUGAGACCUGAUAUGGUUUCAACAGUUUGGUGUAUACCUGCUUAUAUAGACGCUCUCUCUCAACAGCCAGCUUUGUUAGCAACUGUUUGAAAACUACAGUCUGUUUGCUAAUAUCCUUUGCAGUUGCUACUUUUGCUUCCUCUAUUUGGUGCAGUGAUCCCUCCAAGCAUUCCAAUCUACUCCUCAAGAAGCUUACCUCCUCAUUUAACUCAGCAUUAGAUUCAGAUAAUAUGAUACGCUUCUCAUCUGCACUGUCAGCCCGACUCUCGGCUUUAAACACCUUUGACUUAAGAUCCUUUAUUACAUGUUCCAUAUCUUUAAUUGUGUAAUAGAACAUGCUUUGCUUCUCCUGGCUAGCUUGAGCAGAUGCUACUGCAUGCUGCAGCCGCAAAUUAGAUUCCUUUAGCUGCCUCUCAAGCGACUCCACGGUCUCUUUCAAUAGUUUGAGCUCACUGUUCAGUUCAGUGUUUGUCUCUUUCAAUAUUUUACACUCAGCUUCUGCAGUGUUAACUCGACUUUCUGCAUUAGAUGCAUUUUCUUUCAGAUCAACAAUAAGGUUAUCCAUGACUCUUAUUUCAGAACAUUUAACAUUAUAAAGCAACUGAUAUUCAUCUCCCGAGGCCUUCACAUUCAGUAACUGACAUUCAGAUUCUUUU
rnacentral:lncRNA from 1 species